rnacentral:rRNA from 1 species
UGACGACCAUAGCGACUUGGUACCACUCCUUCCCAUCCCGAACAGGACAGUGAAACGAGUCAGCGCCGAUGAUAGUGCGGAUCCCCGUGUGAAAGUAGGACAUCGUC